UGAGGAAUAUUGCGCAAUGGGCGAAAGCCUGACGCAGCGACGCCGCGUGGGGGAUGAAGGUCUUCGGAUUGUAAACCCCUUUCGGGUGGGAAGACGGCCCUAGACAACUAGGGCGGACGGUACCACCAGAAGCAGCCACGGCUAACUUCGUGCCAGCAGCCGCGGUAAUACGAAGGUGGCAAGCGUUGUUCGGAUUUACUGGGCGUAAAGGGAGCGUAGGUGGUUAGGUAAGCCCUCCGGGAAAUCUUCAGGCUUAACCUGAAAAGGUCGGGGGGGACUGCCUGGCUAGAGGACGGGAGAGGAGCGCGGAAUUCCCGGUGUAGCGGUGAAAUGCGUAGAGAUCGGGAGGAAGGCCGGUGGCGAAGGCGGCGCUCUGGAACGUUUCUGACACUGAGGCUCGAAAGCGUGGGGAGCAAACAGG
rnacentral:rRNA from 1 species